UGGACUUAUCCUGGUGCCACUGAGACUGUGCAGCAAGCCAUGUAUCUGGCUCCCCUCCCACCUUCUCACCUUGGAACACCACCAGCUGUAGGCAUCUACAUGCAGCAGGAAGCAUCACUGAGUCCCACACUUACAGGGAAAGCAUCACCCGAAAGUGAGAAUGCCUAGAGGCAGGAAUCAUGGAGGCUUCCUUAACCGUCUGUCUGCAACAGCAGGUGCUAGAGAUGACACUGCAGAGUAGAGAACAAAGGAAUCUUAGUAAUUGUUCAAUCCAAUCUCCACACUUUAAAGAUGAAGAAACUGGUAUUGAGAAAAAUACACAGCUUAUCCAAGGUUGCACUGCUGGUUGGUAGCUGAGAUGAAUUUAGAACCCACAUCUGAUGACUACACCAUAUUGCUCCCAGUUUUCCUGUCUGUUCCACAUGUAAAAGUCUGACUCUUCACUUCUCCUUUGAGUAUAUAGACUUUUAACAUUUUUGUAUGUCAAGAUGGACUUUUCCUCAUACCCAGCCCCUGCCUUUUCUCCUCCCUUCAUACCUUGCAGGAUCUUUAACAGAAUUUAAAAGGAGUUUUUUGUUUUGUUUUGAUGUAUCUAAUAAAAGUCAAGGGAGGGAGAGGGCCAGUAUAAGCAAGAGUACAGUUUCCUAGUUUGUAGAUGCGGUAGUCUGAGGAAUCAGAAACACACAAAGGUUUGGAGAACUGGUACAUGCUCCCAGGUGGGAAGCCAGGACUCUUGGUAGGAUCUUGAGGACAAGGCAAAGGACAAUAAGAGAGCGAGGGGAUCCUAGAGGUGGAAUCAAGGAAGAGAAACUAGAGAGAGAAAAAGGAACUGGCUAUCCAUCCAUGAUGGAUCCUGUGUGGACUGAUGGGUGGCUUGGCAUCAUCCUUUAGUAGACUUCAUGUGGUUGAAUAAUUGGCCAAUGGAAGGAAUUUCUUUUUUGGUAACAGACUCUGUGUGUACAGUUAUGGGUCUUAAUUUAUAAUAAAAGGUUACAUUGAAAAUUGAGCAUAUUGGCAACUUUGGGCUUUAAU
rnacentral:lncRNA from 1 species